GGAGGUGUAGCUCAGUAUAGCAUUUACCUCUUGUGCAAAAGGUCCUGGGUUCAAUCCCCAGCACCACAA
rfam:Ictidomys tridecemlineatus contig086736, whole genome shotgun sequence.